GACGAACGCUGGCGGCGUGCCUAAUACAUGCAAGUAGAACGCUGAAGGAGGAGCUUGCUCUUCUGGAUGAGUUGCGAACGGGUGAGUAACGCGUAGGUAACCUGCCUGGUAGCGGGGGAUAACUAUUGGAAACGAUAGCUAAUACCGCAUAAGAGUAGAUGUUGCAUGACAUUUACUUAAAAGGUGCAAUUGCAUCACUACCAGAUGGACCUGCGUUGUAUUAGCUAGUUGGUGGGGUAACGGCUUACCAAGGCGACGAUACAUAGCCGACCUGAGAGGGUGAUCGGCCACACUGGGACUGAGACACGGCCCAGACUCCUACGGGAGGCAGCAGUAGGAAAUCUUCGGCAAUGGACGGAAGUCUGACCGAGCAACGCCGCGUGAGUGAAGAAGGUUUUCGGAUCGUAAAGCUCUGUUGUAAGAGAAGAACGAGUGUGAGAGUGGAAAGUUCACACUGUGACGGUAUCUUACCAGAAAGGGACGGCUAACUACGUG
rnacentral:rRNA from 1 species